UGGGGAAUUUUGGACAAUGGGCGAAAGCCUGAUCCAGCAAUGCCGCGUGUGUGAAGAAGGCCUUCGGGUUGUAAAGCACUUUUGUCCGGAAAGAAAUCCUCUGGGUUAAUACCUCGGGGGGAUGACGGUACCGGAAGAAUAAGCACCGGCUAACUACGUGCCAGCAGCCGCGGUAAUACGUAGGGUGCAAGCGUUAAUCGGAAUUACUGGGCGUAAAGCGUGCGCAGGCGGUUUUGUAAGACGGAUGUGAAAUCCCCGGGCUUAACCUGGGAACUGCAUUCGUGACUGCAAGGCUAGAGUAUGGCAGAGGGGGGUAGAAUUCCACGUGUAGCAGUGAAAUGCGUAGAGAUGUGGAGGAAUACCGAUGGCGAAGGCAGCCCCCUGGGCCAAGUACUGACGCUCAUGCACGAAAGCGUGGGGAGCAAACAGGAUUAGAUACCCUGGUAGUCCACGCCCUAAACGAUGUCAACUAGUUGUUGGGGGAUUCAUUUCCUUAGUAACGUAGCUAACGCGUGAAGUUGACCGCCUGGGGGAGUACGGUCGCAAGAUUAAAACUCAAAUGAAUUGACGGGGUCAUAGCUGUUUCCU
rnacentral:rRNA from 1 species